UGGGGAAUAUUGGACAAUGGGCGAAAGCCUGAUCCAGCCAUGCCGCGUGUGUGAAGAAGGUCUUCGGAUUGUAAAGCACUGUAAGUUGGGAGGAAGGGCAGUAAGCGAAUAACUUGCUGUUUUGACGUUACCGACAGAAUAAGCACCGGCUAACUCUGUGCCAGCAGCCGCGGUAAUACAGAGGGUGCAAGUGUUAAUCGGAAUUACUGGGCGUAAAGCGCGCGUAGGUGGUUCGUUAAGUUGAAUGUGAAAGCCCCGGGCUCAACCUGGGAACUGCAUCCAAAACUGGCGAGCUAGAGUAGGGCAGAGGGUGGUGGAAUUUCCUGUGUAGCGGUGAAAUGCGUAGAUAUAGGAAGGAACACCAGUGGCGAAGGCGACCACCUGGGCUCAUACUGACACUGAGGUGCGAAAGCGUGGGGAGCAAACAGG
rnacentral:rRNA from 1 species